AUUGAUUGCCGGGGGAGCCCAAAGGGCUGAGAGUGCUGAAAGCAGACCCCAUGAACCUGAUCCGGUUAGGACCGGCGUAGGGACGGCCAGUGAGUGCGCCU
rnacentral:ncRNA from 3 species